rnacentral:rRNA from 1 species
UGAACGCUGGCGGCAGGCCUAACACAUGCAAGUCGAGCGGCAACGGAGAGUAGCUUGCUACUCUGCCGGCAAGCGGCGGACGGGUGAGUAAAGUCUGGGGAUCUGCCUUAUGGAGGGGGAUAACCAUUGGAAACGGUGGCUAAUACCGCAUGAUGUCGCAAGACCAAAGUGGGGGACUUCAAGGCCUCACGCCAUAAGAUGAACCCAAAUGAGAUUAGCUAGUAGGUGCGGUAAUGGCGUACCUAGGCGACGAUCUCUAGCUGGUCUGAGAGGAUGACCAGCCACACUGGAACUGAGAAACGGUCCAGACUCCUACGGGAGGCAGCAGUGGGGAAUAUUGCACAAUGGGCGGAAGCCUGAUGCAGCCAUGCCGCGUGUGUGAAGAAGGCCUCAGGGUUGUAAAGCACUUUCAGUGGGGAGGAAGGCGGUAAGAGUAAUAUGCUUAUCGAUUGACGUUACCCGCAAAAGAAGCACCGGCUAACUCCGUGCCAGCAGCCGCGGUAAUACGGAGGGUGCGAGCGUUAAUCGGAAUAACUGGGCGUAAAGGGCAUGUAGGCGGUAAGUUAAAUCAGAUGUGAAAUCCCCAAGCUUAACUUAGGAAGGGCAUUUGAGACUGGCUAGCUAGAGUUUUGUAGAGGGGGGUAGAAUUCCAGGUGUAGCGGUGAAAUGCGUAGAGAUCUGGAGGAAUAUCAGUGGCGAAAGCGGCCCCCUGGACAAAAACUGACGCUGAGGUGCGAAAGCGUGGGUAGCAAACAGGAUUAGAUACCCUGGUAGUCCACGCUGUAAACGAUGUCGAUUAGGAGGUUGUAACCUAGUGUUAUGGCGUCCGAAGCUAACGCGAUAAAUCGACCGCCUGGGGAGUACGGCCGCAAGGCUAAAACUCAAAUGAAUUGACGGGGGCCCGCACAAGCGGUGGAGCAUGUGGUUUAAUUCGAUGCAACGCGUAGAACCUUACCUACUCUUGACAUCCACGGAAUUGAGCAGAGAUGCUUAGGUGCCUUCGGGAGCCGUGAGACAGGUGCUGCAUGGCCGUCGUCAGCUCGUGUUGUGAAAUGUUGGGUUAAGUCCCGCAACGAGCGCAACCCUUGUCCUUUGUUGCCAGCGCGUGAUGGCGGGAACUCAAAGGAGACUGCCGGUGAUAAACCGGAGGAAGGUGGGGAUGACGUCAAGUCAUCAUGGCCCUUACGGCCUGGGCUACACACGUGCUACAAUGGUCGGUACAAAGGGUUGCCAAGCCGCGAGGUGGAGCUAAUCCCAUAAAACCGAUCGUAGUCCGGAUCGCAGUCUGCAACUCGACUGCGUGAAGUCGGAAUCGCUAGUAAUCGCGAAUCAGAAUGUCGCGGUGAAUACGUUCCCGGGCCUUGUACACACCGCCCGUCACACCAUGGGAGUGGGUUGCACCAGAAGUAGCUAGUCUAACCUUCGGGAGGACGGUUACCACGGUGUGAUUCAUGACUGGGGUG